rnacentral:antisense_RNA from 1 species
AUAGAGCAACAGCUUCUAUGCAGUUUCUUGUUAGCCCCGUUAAUCUUUCUGGACUCGCCAAAGUUAGAGAAGAUUAUCGGGGUUUUCACUU